rfam:Oryctolagus cuniculus unplaced genomic scaffold chrTn0352, whole genome shotgun sequence.
GGUACUUAAAGCGAGGUUGCCCUGUGUAUAUUCUGUUUAUUGACAUGCAAUAUACAAGGGCAAGCUCUCUGUGAGUAUC